rnacentral:lncRNA from 1 species
UCCAAUUAUCCAGAGUGUUUCAGAAUAUUCUCAAGUAUGCAUUGCUAUUUCUCAACAUUUGCAUAGUCUCGAUAUGUUUUAUGUCUUAAUUUGUGAAUUUUAAAUCAUGUAAAUAUCGCCAUGAGUUCCCUAUUGGAAAGAUUGGUAGAAACAAUUCGUGUAAAAAAAAAAUGAUGAACAGUACAUUCAGUAAUAUAAUUAUUGAAAUAUAAUAAAUUCAUUAGAUGGCAAGGACCAAGUCAAAG